rnacentral:misc_RNA from 1 species
GUCGAGAAUUCUUUGAAUUCUGAAUUUUCCACCAUCAGUACCAAAAUCCGAUCCUGCUGUUCGUUGAAGCAUAGUAGAAACCUUGUCUCUCGUCGUCCGGCAACAAAUCCGCAGUACGCCCCUGGACGCAUGACGUCGCGGUGGGACGCUUGGAGCGCGUCCAGACGACUAUGCAGCGGCAGUUCGGCACGAGGGCCGAUCUUGGCUGGCUCGCAUAUCUUGCAGCUCUUGAAAUAAUAAAAAUAACAAAUAUGUAACUUUUCGCUUGUAUUCUGAGUAGUUCUUAAGGAUGAGCCUCGAAUGACAACUACCACGGGUGUGGAGAAUUAUCUUCAAGUUCACAUGUUAUAUCAUCAAACUGAUACAGACACCGCCGGGACAUCUGCAUCUUAGACCUGGAGAAACACUUGUCCCCUGCAAUGCACGCCCCUGAUCAAGGCUGCCUCUGAAUCAGCCUGACGUCUUCAUGAAGAACUUUUCCUAGUUUACUGAUGUGUCCAGAUGAACAAAGGAAGUACAGGAUACUUCUCCAUAAUAUGAUGAAACUAUCACCCUAGAAUCCAGUGGCGUACCAUACUGAAUAUAUUGAAUUUGUAUAUAUGGAAAGUUUAUUGUAGUUACAACUAUAGGGAUGAUACGCCACUGACGCGGUUGCUAUUCGAAGCUUCGUUUUGCUUGACUAACAAUUAAAAAGCACAACAAUUUUUUUGAGCCCUCUGAUAGUAGUUCGUAAGGAAUAUUUAUUGAGUAUAGGAAAGUUAGCUAUUAAUAUUUAGUAGAAAAAUUAUUUUCAAUACAAAUUAUACAUUUUUGCGUACCUUGUCCUAACUUUACGCUAAGAUUAUGUCCAGGGCCACUUCGAAAAUAUCAAUAAUCCGUCACACACGCUCAAACUCCAGUGGCUAGAAUUAAAGUUGAGAUUGUUUUUGUUUUUGAGGUUGCUCUGUAUAAAGCCAUGGAACAAAUAUACGUAACAAAGGGGUUAGUCCGUCUUUUAUGCCCAGGGAACAGUAAGGUACUGCUUGUACUGGCUUAGUCCAUACAAUUGUAAACAAUUCAGAAAAAUAUUUUAGGUAUAGCUGUUUAUAUAGAAGUUACUAACUAGGCCUACUUAUUUUGAAGAAAAUUAAAGAAAUUGUUGGGUUUUGGUGUUUUGUUCACAGAAAGCAAAUCAUCCGCCUAUUUUUCUGAAUAAGCGAAAUGAUUUAGUUGAAGAAAUUGUUCGCGUAUCUUAUAGAGUAUCAGAAAAAAUGAAACUCCGGAAAAUUGAAUAUUCACAAUUGUUGGGUCAAAAUAAUAUGUGAUCAGUUGACAUAGCUCGAACUUCAAAUCAGUUUCAGUUUCAACAGUUCAUCAGUCUAUGAAAUCAAGAUUUGGAAUCAAAAAUUGAAAAUCAAGUCGAUACAGAGUCAGAUAUUCUCCAAAAAACUUUUUUUCAUCGUUCUGUCAGACUUGACAAUGAAUUAUCUGUAUCAUAAGAGAAGCAGAACAUGCAUUGAUGAAUAUGAGAAUCCCAUAAGUAAUGAAUGUACUAUAUCUCUUUUUUGUGAAGAUACCACCAAUCACCAACAAAAGUAUUUUGGCUAGUGAACUUAAGAGUAGCUACUUAGCUAGACAUUACUCCCUCUAUACAAGGGAUGACCGAUAUAUUGUAUUCACUAGAUUUAUAGUGGCCUUUAUCGAAAAAUGCCCAUGCCUACUAUAUACAUCAUUUACAUAAUAUCAAGUAUUACAGUUUAUAAUUGGAUCUGAAAUUUGUUGAGGUUUGAAGCGAAACCCUUUGUACAAUGUAUUUACUCAAUGAUAUUGGGAAUAAAAUGGUUUGAGAUU